UUUCUCCGACAGUCCAGUUCUUCCUCUAAUGCCUGGGAUCAUGGUGAUCAGGAUGAAUCUAGCUAUGAGGACUGUCCAGAGAGUCUACCCAUCGUACUGUCUGAGGAAAAUUAUCUCUUCCAUUUAUGUGGCUGGAGAUGGGCUGAAUGCCAUAUUGCAGACCAACACAUGAUCUUUUUAAAGGAGGAUAUCCUGCAGCUCUGUUCUUCUCUGGGGGCACUGUGAAACAUGCCUUGUUAAUAAUGAUGGGAUGGACAUUCAAAAUAUGCUGCUUUGGAAUCAGAAGAUGAGGGUGACUGAAGAUAUUAAAACAGCAUAUGAGGA